rnacentral:rRNA from 1 species
CUCGCCUACAUGAAGUCGGAAUUGCUAGUAAUCGCGGAUCAGCAUGCCGCGGUGAAUACGUUCCCGGGCCUUGUACACACCGCCCGUCACACCAUGAGAGUUGGCAACACCCGAAGUCGGUAGUCUAACCGCAAGGAGGACGCCGCCGAAGGUGGGGUUGAUGAUUAGGGUUAAGUCGUAACAAGGUAGC